rnacentral:misc_RNA from 1 species
AAACAGUCCGUGGACUUGCUGGAAAAUCUCUCUUGAAGAUGAUGAAGAGAUGGCCCUCUACAAUCUCAAAAUGUGUGCUCAGUCUGAGUCAGAACUUGAAAAAUUCUAGCUCACCAGAAUGCGCAGUCUUAGGUUCCUGUGCAGUCCUUGCAACGCAAACUGUUCUUAAAUGUUUAACAACGGAUUUGAAGGCACUUUCUUCCUUCCUGCUUGGAAUUCUGUCAAGCUCUCAUCAUGAAACACUAAAAGCUCAGAAAGCCAUCAAUGAGCUUUUCAUUAAGUACAACAUUCAUUUUUCUGGAGUAUCCAGAAACAUGUUUAAG